rnacentral:rRNA from 1 species
GACGAACGCUGGCGGCGUGCUUAACACAUGCAAGUCGAACGGAAAGGCCCUGCUUUUGUGGGGUGCUCGAGUGGCGAACGGGUGAGUAACACGUGAGUAACCUGCCCUUGACCUUGGGAUAACUUCAGGAAACUGGGGCUAAUACCGGAUAGGAGCUCCUGCUGCAUGGUGGGGGUUGGAAAGUUUCGGCGGUUGGGGAUGGACUCGCGGCUUAUCAGCUUGUUGGUGGGGUAGUGGCUUACCAAGGCUUUGACGGGUAGCCGGCCUGAGAGGGUGACCGGCCACAUUGGGACUGAGAUACGGCCCAGACUCCUACGGGAGGCAGCAGUGGGGAAUAUUGCACAAUGGGCGGAAGCCUGAUGCAGCAACGCCGCGUGCGGGAUGACGGCCUUCGGGUUGUAAACCGCUUUCGCCUGUGACGAAGCGUGAGUGACGGUAAUGGGUAAAGAAGCACCGGCUAACUAUGUG